rfam:Pseudomonas oryzihabitans strain TSDA-ARS-TSMARC-56511, complete genome.
UGUGUCUGGGACGACACGGAUUGGCAGGAAGCGAAUCGGGAACACCUCAGGAUGAGGUUCACCAGGACGGUGACAGGAAUUCAGGGACAGGGACGAAGGGGGCGGAGCGAUCCGCCCCCUUUUUU